rnacentral:rRNA from 1 species
GACGAACGCUGGCGGCGUGCCUAAUACAUGCAAGUAGAACGCUGAAGGAGGAGCUUGCUUCUCUGGAUGAGUUGCGAACGGGUGAGUAACGCGUAGGUAACCUGCCUGGUAGCGGGGGAUAACUAUUGGAAACGAUAGCUAAUACCGCAUAAGAGUAGAUGUCGCAUGACAUUUGCUUAAAAGGUGCAAUUGCAUCACUACCAGAUGGACCUGCGUUGUAUUAGCUAGUUGGUGAGGUAACGGCUCACCAAGGCAACGAUACAUAGCCGACCUGAGAGGGUGAGCGGCCACACUGGGACUGAGACACGGCCCAGACUCCUACGGGAGGCAGCAGUAGGGAAUCUUCGGCAAUGGACGGAAGUCUGACCGAGCAACGCCGCGUGAGUGAAGAAGGGUUUCGGAUCGUAAAGCUCUGUUGUAAGAGAAGAACGAGUGUGAGAGUGGAAAGUUCACACUGUGACGGUAUCUUACCAGAAAGGGACGGCUAACUACGUG